rnacentral:rRNA from 1 species
CCGGCGCACGGGUGAGUAACACGUAUCCAACCUGCCGAUAACUCGGGGAUAGCCUUUCGAAAGAAAGAUUAAUAUCCGAUAGCAUAUCAAUCCCGCAUGAGAUUGAUAUUAAAGAAUUUCGGUUAUCGAUGGGGAUGCGUUCCAUUAGUUUGUUGGCGGGGUAACGGCCCACCAAAGCGACGAUCGGUAGCCGGACUGAGAGGUUGAACGGCCACAUUGGGACUGAGACACGGCCCAG